rnacentral:rRNA from 1 species
CCUACGGGAGGCUGCAGUGGGGAAUAUUGGACAAUGGGCGAAAGCCUGAUCCAGCCAUGCCGCGUGUGUGAAGAAGGCCUUCGGGUUGUAAAGCACUUUCAGUGGGGAAGAAAGCCUUGGGGCUAAUACCCUCGAGGAAGGACAUCACCCACAGAAGAAGCACCGGCUAACUCCGUGCCAGCAGCCGCGGUAAUACGGAGGGUGCGAGCGUUAAUCGGAAUUACUGGGCGUAAAGCGCGCGUAGGCGGUCUGAUAAGCCGGUUGUGAAAGCCCCGGGCUCAACCUGGGAACGGCAUCCGGAACUGUCAGGCUAGAGUGCAGGAGAGGAAGAGAGAAUUCCCGGGGUAGCGGUGAAAUGCGUAGAGAUCGGGAGGAAUACCAGUGGCGAAGGCGGCCUUCUGGACUGACACUGACGCUGAGGUGCGAAAGCGUGGGUAGCAAACAGGAUUAGAUACCCUUGUAGUC